rnacentral:rRNA from 1 species
AAGUCGAGGGGCAUCAGGGAAGUAGCUUGCUACUUUUGCUGGCGACCGGCGCACGGGUGCGUAACGCGUAUCCAACCUGCCCUUGUCCGCGGCACAGCCCGUCGAAAGGCGGAUUAAUGCCGCAUGCGGUCCGAAGACGGCAUCAGAUUCGGACGAAAGGUUUUAGGCCGGAGAAGGAUGGGGAUGCGUCCGAUUAGCUUGACGGCGGGGUAACGGCCCACCGUGGCGACGAUCGGUAGGGGUUCUGAGAGGAAGGUCCCCCACAAUGGAACUGAGACACGGUCCAAACUCC